CCUACGGGAGGCAGCAGUGAGGAAUAUUGGUCAAUGGACGAGAGUCUGAACCAGCCAAGUAGCGUGAAGGAUGACUGCCCUAUGGGUUGUAAACUUCUUUUAUAUGGGAGUAAAAUGUUCCACGUGUGGGAUUUUGUAUGUACCAUAUGAAUAAGGAUCGGCUAACUCCGUGCCAGCAGCCGCGGUAAUACGGAGGAUCCGAGCGUUAUCCGGAUUUAUUGGGUUUAAAGGGAGCGUAGGUGGAUUGUUAAGUCAGUUGUGAAAGUUUGCGGCUCAACCGUAAAAUUGCAGUUGAAACUGGCAGUCUUGAGUACAGUAGAGGUGGGCGGAAUGCGUGGUGUAGCGGUGAAAUGCUUAGAUAUCACGAAGAACUCCGAUUGCGAAGGCAGUUCACUGGACUGCAACUGACACUGAGGCUCGAAAGUGUGGGUAUCAAACAGGAUUAGAUACCCUAGUAGUC
rnacentral:rRNA from 1 species